GUGCUUACUUUGGCAGCACAUAUACUAAAAUUGGAAUGCUACAGAGAAGAUUAGCAUAGUCUCUACGCGAGGAUGAUAUACAGAUUCAUGAAGCAUUCCAUAUUUGG
ensembl:snRNA U6 U6 spliceosomal RNA